UUCUGGUUAGCUUAGUCGGUGGAGCAUUAGGCUUUUUAGUAGAACUUUUCCCUGAAAUGUCCAGAGUUCGAGCCCCUGAUAAGGAG